CAGUCUUCUCUGAAAAGAUCUGUGACCUUCUUGGUGAAGUACAAGCUGAAGGAACAGGAUGGCAGCUCAAGAGUGACAAGCAAAUGGUCAAGUAUCAUCUUAUAGGAUUAAAUGAGUUCAAAUCUCCAGGGCCCAAUGAACUCCAUCCUAGAGUCAUAAUGAAGCUGGUGGAAGAACUCUCAGAACCACUGUCUAUUAUCUCUGAGAAAUCAUGGAGGAUGGGGCGUGCCAGAUAACUAGAGAAGGCCUAAUGUUGUCCCCAUCUUCAAGAAAAGGAAAAAAGAAGCACAUGGGAACAGCAGACCAGUCAGUUUGACAUCAAUCCCUGGGAAAAUUCUGGAGCAGAGUAUAAACAGUGCAUCUCAAACAUCUAGAAAACAGUGCAGUGCUUACUAGAAACUAACAUGGAUUUCUCAAGAACAAAUCCUGCCAGACUAGUCUGAAUUCAGACUUUGAUUGGGUAACUUCCCUGAUGGACUGUGGGAAUGCUGUGGACAUGAUCUAUCUUGACUUCCACAAAGCUUUUGACAAAGUGCCUCAUGAUACUCUGAUUAGCAAACCUGUAAAAAGUGGCCUAGAUGGAACAACAGUCAGAUGGAUCCACAGUUGGUUACAGAAUCGGACUCACAGUGUGCUCAUCAAUGGCACCUUCUCCAACUGGAGAGAGGUAACAUGUGGGAUACCACAGGGUUUAGUCCUGAGCCCACUGCUCUUCAACGUUUUCAUGAAAGACUUGGAUGAGGAAGUGCAGGGAAUGAUUAUGAGAUUUGCAGAUGACAGAAAACUGGGUGGGAUCAAUAAUAUCCUGGAAGACAGAAAGAACAUUCAAGGUUAUGUUGACAGGUUGAAGUGCUGGGCUAAAAACAACAGAAUAACAUUCAGUCAGGACAAAUGCCAAGUUCUGCACCUAGGAAAGGGAAAUGAAAUGCAUUGUUACAAAAUGGGGAAUACUUGACUCAGCAAUACUGCCAAUGAGAAGGAUCCUGGAAUUGUAAAUCACAAGUUGAACAUGAGUCAACAAUGUGAUCUGGCUGCAAAAUGGACAAAAGCUAUUUUAGGCUGCAUUGACAGAAGUAUCUCUUCCAAAUCACGUAAAGUGCUAGUUCUUCUCUAUUCAGCACUGGUUAGGCUUCAUCUGGAGUACCGUGUCCAGUUCUAGGCACCACAGCUGAAGAAAGAUGCAGACAAGCUGGAAAGAGUUCAGAGAAGAACAACAAGGAUGAUCCAGGGACUGGAAACAAAGCCCUGUGAGGAGAGAUUGAAAGAACUGGGCAUGUUUAGUCCCAGCAAGAGAAGAAAUGUGAUAGUGCUCUACAAGUACUUGAGGGGCUGUCGGACUUGGUUUAUACUGCUGCAUGCAAUGGAGAAGGUUGCCAGUUGGGCAGCCUUGCUCCACAAGUGUUUGUGGAUGUCUUCUCAGCUUGGCUCACUUUCCAAGACAGGGCCCCUCGCGAGAGGAAGUCUACAAAUACCAGACAGAUGGAUUCCAUGGAGCUUUGAUGCAUCCUUAGGUCCGUGUAUGUGGACUUUCUAACUGGAGAAUUUUACUGUCAAGUUCAGAUCACCCUGCUGAGGAUACUGCUGUUAUUUCAAGAGCAGAAGCCUAUAACUGAAGAUGUAGCUGGAUAUUUCAAAUUUAUCAUUUAUUAAUAUUUCAUUGUUAUCAUUCCUUACCUCUACAA